rnacentral:rRNA from 1 species
CCCUUAGAUGUCCUGGGCCGCACGCGCGUUACACUGAUGCAUUCAACGAGCUUAUAACCUUGGCCGAGAGGCCUGGGCAAUCUUGUUAACGUGCAUCGUGAUAGGGAUAGAUUAUUGAAAUUAUUAAUCUUGAACGAGGAAUUCCUAGUAAACGCAGAUCAUCAAUCUGCAUUGAUUACGUCCCUGCCCUUUGUACACACCGCCCGUCGCUACUGCCAACUGAGAUGGGUCCUGAAUUGUUAGGAACGCCCGUCAAGGGGCCUACCCGGUCCCUAGUGCGGUGACGAGAAUAACUGUAAAUGGCAUAUCUUGUAGGGAGUAAAAGUCGUAACA